rnacentral:misc_RNA from 1 species
ACCAGGUCUCCUAUAGCAGCAACAAGCUUACGGAUGUUUGCUGUAUCCCAUGCCUCUAAUGGAAUGCCCCAACAUAGGACCCAGACUAGUCUAUGGCCCGUUCUAAUGCUGCUGCUCCAUUUGUCCAGCGAGUAAAACAGCGUCAUCCCAUGCAUAUUCUCUUCAUUCGCCAAUUGUUCCGCCUUGCUAUCAGAGAGACCAAGGAGCAGAAUCAUGUCGUCGCCGAGGUACUUGGGCACGACAUCAUCACCUAUCUCC